UGGAGGAAGGGGGGGAAGGCGUCAAAUCAUCAUGCCCCCUAUGGCCUGGGGUACCCACGUGCUACAAUGGACAGAACAAAGGGCAGGGAAACCGCGAGGUUAAGCCAAUCCCACAAAUCUGUUUUCAGUUCGGAUCGCAGUUUGCAAAUUGAAUGCGUGAAGCUGGAAUCGCUAGUAAUCGCGGAUCAGCAUGCCGCGGUGAAUACGUUCCCGGGCCUUGUACACACCGCCCGUCACACCCCGAGAGUUUGUAACACCCGAAGUCGGGAGGUAACCUUUAGCACCCCCU
rnacentral:rRNA from 1 species